AGCAAUGAAAUUACAAAAAAUCACACUUACAAUGAUUUUGAUCGAUAGCAAUCUUUAAUUUGCGGUGCACAACACACUCUCUCUCGCUGCCCUAUCUCUUCAUCUCUCAAGUUAUGAAGAGAGCAGCAAUCUUUCAAUGGUUUUCCGUCUUGUAGAAAAUCGAAUGUGGUCUUCUAUUUGAGGUCGUUUUUGUAAGAGUUCGGCUUCAUCUCCAUAAACUAUGGGUAGACUUUAAUACUCGUAUGGUAUCAUUGGAAUGAAUCUCAGAUCUGCCCAAAAGGUGGUUUUUGUAAGAGUUCGGCUUCAUCGAUUGUAAACUAUGGCGAGAAUUUCAUCCCCAUAUAAAAUCUUUGUAAUGAAUCUCAGAUCCGCCCCAAAGGUGUUUGGUUUGAUGAUGAAACCUCUUAUUAGAUUAUUGCUCCCUCAUAAACCAAUGACCAGCACAACCAGCAUUAUGUCAGACUCACCCUCUGCACUAAAAAAUAUAUUGUUGUUGAUGCAAUUCAUGUUGAUAGAAAGAUCUUUGAACAGUUACCGGUGUUAAUCCUUCUACUACUUUUACAAGGGUACACUUUCCGAGUUUCCCAUGGGAAGGUAGUGGCUGUGAAGCAACUUUCAGUAGCAUCUCACCAAGGGAAGAGUCAAUUUGCUGCAGAAAUUGCUACCAUAUCUAGGUGCAACAUCGCAAUCUACUGAAAUUAUUCUGCCAGUUGCUGACACUUACAUUGGAGAUAGGUCAACCACCACUCCAAGCAAUUAGACCUUCUUGUGAAGAAAAGCUCAUUUCUUUACUAGUUUUUCGGUGUUGUUCAUCACUAUUGGCUUCUUCCAUGUUGGUUAUCCAAGAUCUUCUGGUAUACUGGUAUCUGACCGCCCAUAUAUUCUGUUCAGAUACAUACAUAUUUCAGUUCCAGGCAAGCAGUACAGGAUAUUUGCAAACUCUGUAAUAAUGGAACCAGUGAGCAACCUCUUGGUAUAUUACCUCAUCAAAUCCGUGGUUCCCUUGGACAGUUUUCGGAGAUGACACUUGUGGGCCACUCCUCAGACAGUUUUGCACGACUUGCUGCAGCAUUAAACUGGGGCUUUAUAAUAUAACAAAGGAGGAGUAGGAUAAAGGCCUCUGAAGAAUUAUUAUUCUCUGUGGACAUGGCAGCUUGGAGACUCUCCUCCUUACUCUCUCACUCUCUCUCUGCUGGGUCUGCUUCUAAGCUUCUCUCUCAAGGUGCAGGCAAAUGGUAUGGCAGCAUACUUUGUGACAUUGACUACAUAUCUUGGCCUUUGGUGUGGCAGAAUAUUACUUGCAUGACAUACUUUCUCCACCAAAUGGUAUGGCAGAAUAUUACUUGCAUGACAUACUUUCUCCACCAAAUGGUAUGGCAGAAUAUUACUUGACAGUUUCUUCUGGAUAUCAGACGUAUAUAAGUCAUCCAUGGAGGACAAGAGGAAAUUGCAGAUACCAUGCCUAGAAUUAAGGCUGCCAAGAAUUGUUCUUUUCAGAGAAUUGAAUUUGUAUAUUAAUUUUAAUUUUUUUUUAAUAUGAAAUAUUGCAGUCACCAUUGCUAGAUGGUGUGUUUUCUGGUGAUGGGGCCCACAGUUUGAAACUCACCAAAAAAAUGAUAGUGCCUAUUUGAGUCUUUGUCACGCCAGCAAUGGCAACGCUUCAAAUUUUGGUGUCUAAGAUGGUGGCAAUUGCCAUUACACACCAAUCAUAGUUGUCUUUUACUUCAA